rnacentral:tRNA from 1 species
UUAACUGAAACCAAAAAGAGGUAUAUUACUGUUAAUAAUACAAUUGAAUUUAAUUCCAGUUAAA